CUACACUCACCGGCCACUUUAUUAGGUACACCUGUCCAACUGCUCGUUAACACUUAAUUUCUAAUCAGCCAAUCACAUGGCGGCAACUUAGUGCAUUUAGGCAUGUAGACAUGGUCAAGACAAUCUCCUGCAGUUCAAACCGCGCAUCAGUAUGGGGAAGAAAGGUGAUUUGAGUGACUUUGAACAUGGCAUGGUCGUUGGUGCCAGAAGGGCUGGUCUGAGUAUUUCAGAAACUGCUGAUCUACUGGGAUUUUCAGACACAACUAUCUCUAGGGUUUACAGAGAAUGGUCCGAAAAAGAAAAAAUAUCCAGUGAGCAGCAGUUCUGUGGGCGGAAAUGCCUUGUUGAUGCCAGAGGUCAGAGGAGAAUGGCCAGACUGGUUCGAGCUGAUAGAAAGGCAACAGUGACUCAAAUAACCACCCGUUACAACCAAGGUAGGCAGAAGAGCAUCUCUGAACGCACAGUACGACGAACUUUGAGGCAGAUGGGCUACAGCAGCAGAAGACCACACCGGGUGCCACUCCUUUCAGCUAAGAACAGGAAACUGAGGCUACAAUUUGCACAAGCUCAUCGAAAUUGGACAAUAGAAGAUUGGAAAAACGUUGCCUGGUCUGAUGAGUCUCGAUUUCUGCUGCGACAUUCGGAUGGUAGGGUCAGAAUUUGGCGUCAACAUCAUGAAAGCAUGGAUCCAUCCUGCCUUGUAUCAACAGUUCAGGCUGGUGGUGGUGGUGUCAUGGUGUGGGGAAUAUUUUCUUGGCACUCUUUGGGCCCCUUGGUACCAAUUGAGCAUCGUUGCAACGCCACAGCCUACCUGAGUAUUGUUGCUGACCAUGUCCAUCCCUUUAUGACCACAAUGUACCCAACUUCAGAUGGCUACUUUCAGCAGGAUAAUGCGCCAUGUCAUAAAGCUGGAAUCAUCUCAGACUGGUUUCUUGAACAUGACAAUGAGUUCACUGUACUCAAAUGGCCUCCACAGUCACCAGAUCUCAAUCCAAUAGAGCAUCUUUGGGAUGUGGUGGAACGGGAGAUUUGCAUCAUGGAUGUGCAGCCGACAAAUCUGCGGCAACUGUGUGAUGCCAUCAUGUCAAUAUGGACCAAGCUCUCUGAGGAAUGCUUCCAGCACCUUGUUGAAUCUAUGCCACGAAGAAUUGAGGCAGUUCUGAAGGCAAAAGGGGGUCCAACCCGUUACUAGCAUGGUGUACCUAAUAAAGUGGCCGGUGAGUGUAUGUCAUCAUUUGUUGAACCCUCAUCUGCAUUUCUGCCGGAGGUAGCACUCAGGAGUGCUGUCGGCUUCACCUGUUCAAGUGCUAUGGUUGCAUGUAGCUGCAGCCUGCUACUACCCAGUUGUUUGCUACUUGGUUCAACACGAAGCGGACCAAGAGCAACUCCCCUUUUCCAUUAGCUAUACGUAAAGUCGACCAAAACAAGGCAGAAUGCCUACUAUCGAAAAGAAUACUGACCAUGUUUCAUAUUGAUAUUGAGGGAAAUUUAUUUUCGAUAUAUAUCCCAUUGUUUUAUUGCCCAGCCCUAGCUGCGACCAAACUGUCCUGCAUACAUUCUCCAAAGACUACAGUUCAGUAUGGACUUUUCACAUGUGUAUGCAAAUGAAAGGGAAACUGUGCAAAGUACACAGCAGCUGAGGGCCUAGGAUGGUACAAACACUUUGGACAGCAGUGCAAAAUGCAUCCAAGGAUCUCCUGCAAACACAGCUCCUGUCACACAUGUCACGUAGACGGCGUAGAGAACGAAUGGCUGUGGAUGCAUGGUGCGGAGGAGAUAAACACAAGGAUCCCCCCGACAAAACAAACCUCUGGCUGAGUCCCAAACAACUGAGAAAAUAAACCAAAAACUCGACUCAAACAUUUGGGCCAGAGGGGCGAGUUCAUUUUUGUGUUUCUAGGAAGCACAACACACCCCGCACGCAUUCAGAGAAUAAACGAUGAACUCAAGUAACUGUUCUCCUUAUCUUUUUUAAUAUGAAAAAAUGUGUGCUUGUGCUAAAUUUGCCAUGGGUCGGGGAAGGAAAUGGCACAUUUAUUCUACGCUCGAAAAAGAAAACAAUCCAAAGGCAAAAAAAGGAUGAAAAGAAAAACACAGCAACAGAAAUGGGAAUUCAACACUUUACGGUGGCAGAGCCCGAGCCGGUCAUACCGGCACAAUGACAACCUAAACUUAAUGGAAAUGAAAACACUAAAGCAAAGGAAACUUACUUGUAACUUCCUUCCACCUGGCAUACCAUGAAGACAGCUGAACACAGCCGUCGCCCCUAACCACAGCCUCCACUACAGUGUAAAAUAUAUGAAAUACAGGGACUUUAAACUCUGCUGUGGUAAAAACUAAUUCAGUUAAGUGGUAGUGAGGACUCUGCGAAACAGUGACCCCGUCCAAUAACAACACAUCCUGCUUCAGAUUAAAUGUAAGGGUCAUACGUCCAUAAACUAAAUCAGCAAUUAGUGCUCCUUAAGUUCUCAGAGACAGGCUGUUAUUUUUUCACUGAAAUAAAAAUGUAGUAACUGUGCGACAUUAACGGAUCGCAAAAGAAAACUAUGCUAAAACAACCUGACGACACAUCGUGUCUGAGAUUUUAUGAGGGAGAAAUGUUGAUUUCAGCUUCACCAGCUUUUACCAACCUUCAGCUGUGUUAAAAUCAUGACUUUUGCCCACUUUAAAAAUACUCCUGAGCUGUACAAGAAUUUUCUGCCAAAAUAAACGAUAAAAAAGUCAAACGUUUUGAUGCUUUCUGCUCUGGUUUCAUAGUGAAUUCUGUUACCACUUCUUUAUAUGUUUGAUGUAAGCCACGUGACUUUGCAAAGCAGCGGCUGUAACAUAAAUACACCUAAAACAGAGAAGCGUAAUAAAGCUUCACCCUCCUGCUCACACUCAGCUCCCACACAUCACCCUGGCUGCCUUAGUAGAAAAGUGAAUUUGAAGGGCUCUUCAUCUUUACUCUGUGUUGGUAUAUGCAUGUACGAGAGUCCUGCAUGAUUCACUGCGGAUGGCACAGUGCGGCUGACAUUACCAAGAUUUUAAUGUGCUGUGCGUGAGAUUGCUUUAAGGUUGUAAAAAAUAUCAAAGCCCAGAAGAGGAUAUGAACCUGGGCUGCUGUGCAUUGUUACCGAGCAGAGUGUGGGAAGCAUAGAGAGGCCGGGAUAAUAGAUCCCCUCCAGACUGCACCAUGAUGGAUGCACCAUAAAAAAGUCCACACAGCCUCCAACAGCUUUUAAAAGUUCAAAUUAGGGCAGUUUCCUGUUUUGUUUUUUUGACAUAACCAUCAAAGACACACUGCUGUAUAUUUUAGCCGAGUGAAAAUCAUGUUUAUGGUUUAGUGUUUAGCUCAAGGGCUUUUUGGUUUUCACUUCAAUACAAUCACAAAAAAUCAUGAUAUUACAGUCCUGUCUGAAACGGAGAAUACUCACUACAAUGGGAACAUGAAUAAAAGGAAAGGUGGAGAUUUUUUCCAGCUGAAGUUAAAAAGAUCAUUUCAUGAUCAUGAAUCCAUCAUAAUAAAAACAAAGUGCCAGUAAAAUAUUCUGAGGAUCAAAACCUUAACUUUGCAUGGAGCUGCUUGACUAAAUCGCUUAUAAUUAUAUUUAUAUAAUUGUUUUCAUCAUUGUUAUUGACUAAAUUAGUCAUAAUUCUGCGUUUAUUAUCAGCACUUCUGCACCCACAGAUUUCAAGUUCAAUUUUCUGAUUUCUGCCCAUCAAUGAUUCUGGUACAUACUGAACUUUCUGCCCGUCAAUUUAAAAGCCGACUGUGAUUGAACAAAGAAACUAAAGACGCUAAAUCAAAAUUUAUCUUCAAAAAAGUGUCAAAGCCAGUAUGUUGAGUAAAUACAGGGAAAUAUGUUAAUCUAAGUCUUGGUAUGUUGGUUUUGUGAAAAAAGUUUGUAUUAACAUGGUCUUUUCUGUUCGUUUUGUGGGUUUAUUUUUGAAAAUAAAAAAUACUGAACUGUAAAAAGGCAUGUUGGUCUGCAGCUCUUGUUUAUUUUAUUAUGUGUUUAGUUGAUUAAUAUAUUAUGAAAGAGGGGCAGACUCUUUAAGAGUUUUCUUCUUUCUGCUCCUUUUCAUUCACAUGUUUGAGAUUUUUCCUUGUUUGUAUUGAAUGUUUUAAAUAUUAACUGAAUGAAAUAAAGUAUGAAAAUGAAAAAUAAAAUGAAAUGAUUUUUACCUAAUGUUUGUCGUGGUGUUGCACUGCCAGAUCUGAAUGUUUGUUGAUAUGAUUAAGAUAAACUCGCCACUCCAGAUAUUUCAUGGCACCAGGCUGACACCGAGUAAGGUGUGGCACAUGCCAUGAAAUUACACGCUUCUGUAAAAACCAUGGCACUAAUUACUUUAUCAUGACACAAAUGUAGGGUUUCUAUAAAUACCGACAGUCCCAGUUUAAGUGUGGGAAGUGGUCUUAACUUUGUUUUGCAGGGGGUUUACUUUCUCUGUAUUUCAAAGUGUAAGAGCUGCACCUCUGCAGUGGAAGUGUUAUUGUUUUCUUGCAGCGGGUUCUCAAAGGACGUGUUUUAUUUGUUGAAGCUGCACCACUUGACAGACACAACUGUGAAGAGAAGCAGAUUAACCUUCCCAGACCCCUGAAGUCAAACCUCUCACUCUGUCUGCCUCCCAUCACUCUCCUUUAUCCGUCUUUCCAGCUUUGAUUUCCCACUGUCUAAUUUCUUCCUCAUUCCUAGUUCUUCCUCCUCUCUCAUCUAACGCGUCCUCUUGCCGACUCCUCAGGUCUCACGCUGUCAUACCUCACCGCAAAUGAGCAGUCUGGCUGUGCACACAGCCACAUGGGAACCCCUUUCACACUGCACCACAACACAGUCCUAAUUAGCCCAGAAACUAGCGGCUUCAGUUUUGAGUCUGCACAGCUCGCCUUUCCAAUCCCCUGUCCAACAAUGUUUGUCUGGAUGAGUAUAGGUUAAUUACAUCCAGUUCAACCCUUGGACUCCUAUCCCCCUCUUGUUGUUAUUUUUUUCUAUAAAGUUUUGUUUUUGUUAACUUUUCUCACAAUACAGGUGUGAACCAUAAAAUAUCUGACCAGUGCAUUCGCUUAGCUUUUAAAUCUGAUAUAAUCAACAACAAAGUUAACAGAUAUUAAAAGUCCACCCAAAUAAAUGACCACACAGUCAGCUAACCUCCUGGGGGGCAGAUGUUUAUGGGCUGAUGAGUCACCCCAUGUGUGAUUUCUCUGUUUUUUGGCGUCGCCAUUCUGUAACUCAGUAACUAAACGCUGCGGUCAACGGACUUCAUGUUACCGAGACCUCUGACAGUUUGGUUGACAUCACCGCUGCCCACAAAAGAGAGAUGGCUGUUUACCAAGUUUGCACCAUCAUUAAAUAAAAGAUCCCACUUAUAAAGAUUACAGUAAAUAAAACACAGUUGAAUAAAGCAAAAAACCAUUUAAACAUAUCAAAAUAUAGACAUGAAUGGUAGUGGAAAACUUUGCUUUUUAGCCAACAAUAACAAAUUCUGUUCGUGGUAUGCACUGAUUUAAAAAAUUCAACUUAUUGUGCAAGUUGUGUUUUUUGGAUUUGGGAGGUGCUGAUGUUCCUGGGACUGAGUUUGUUUAUUGUGCUGUUUUAAAGUGAUGAAAACUGCUGAAAAAUGACGGUGGAGAUUCAAUGUGACGCAGACUGGGUGGUGGUUAAUCACAGAACUGGUGGUUUUUGAAGAAACCCUGGAGUCCUUACAGUUACUGGAAAUGAAGCAGGAGAAGUAGGAGGACCUGGCCUUCUUUCGAGCUUAAUGAUAAGAAGACUCCCAGUUUUACAUUAUAAAUGCCAUUUGUCUUUAUUUUUCUGUUCAACCAAAUUUUACUCACUAUAUUUGGAUUUAGCCAGGCCAUCUUUCCAGUUGGAUUAAAUUGUUUGUUCUUGAGCAUCAGAAUCUAAUACUGCUCUACAUGUUAUUGAAAACUCUACCAAACUUUUUCAGUUCAGCAAAUCAAGAGUUUUUCAAUUCUCUUGCCUAAAGACGCAUUUGAAAAGCCAUCACAAAGGCUAUCCAAGGAUGAAAAAAGAACAAAAUAGGUGUUGCAGCGCAGCAUGAGGGUGAAAGCAAGACCUUGAAAGAAGCUUUGUGGUCAGAAACACAAAUGCAUUUGCAGAGUUCAGCACUUUAAAGAAUAAAGAAUACAUCUGAGGUGAGAACAAUGUCAAGGGUACAGUCUUUAAAAUGACUGGCGGAUAAACUUUUAAAUCAACCAAAGGAAUAAAGUAGUCGCCAUGCUGACCAGCUAAACGCUUAAAGCUCCGGUGAAGAUCUUUGUUUGUUUGUUUUUCAACUUUGGCGCCCCUUGUGGCCAAAUCAAUCUUUGCUUGUAUUGUAUUCUACAUGCUCAAGUAAUGUUUCUUAAAAACAAACCUCAUCCUGCUGACUUUUGAGAGUUAUUCAUUAACCAUGAAUAUUUAUGCAGAAACUAUAAUAGCUGGGGUGUUUCUUCUUGGCAAAUGCCCUCUCGUACUCGUCUUGUCCCUGAUGGCCUUAUUUGCUUUUCGAUAUCACAAAAUAGCAACAAUAUGAAUUUCAGUCUGGUUCAUAAAUAUCCACUAUGUCCCAUAGAAGCUCGAAAAGCAUAACGAGUCCCCACAGAAAUUCAAUGCUGAGGAAAGUUGAAAUAUAUAUCACUUCCAUGUAAUAAGUCAUUUGUGGUAGUAUGGUUCUGGUUUGCAUGAUUCAUGUGUGCUCAUGAAAAAUCAAGGCAGGGAGAAGAGCGGCCAAAACCCCUCAAGUAUGUGGUGGUACGACUCUGUUCUGAGAUCUCCCUGCUCUCCUGGUGAGUGUAUGAAAAUGUUCAAAGUCUGAGGUGAGGAGAGCACACCUUUCACGAAAGCUAGAGCAGGAAGAGCAUCAGCCAAGACUUCUGAUGCAGAACAGAUCAGCAUCAGUGAAAAUCCACGAGACUCUGGUAAAAUCAGACCCAGCAUAAAAAGGAGGAGGUAGGGUGGAGGCAGGGGGAGCAUCAGCAAAGACUUCAGGGGGAGCAUCAGCAAAGACUUCUGAUCUAGAACCAAUCAGCAUCAGCCCAAAUGUCAUUGAUAUCAAUACAAAGCCAACUUUGAAGUGAUCAGAUUAUUAAAAGCCUUUUUUCAAUAGGCAUCAAAGCUGAGAGAACAGAGAGUACAAAUUUGAUCGUACAACUUCAAGUCCUGGCUAGAGCUAAUUGUCUUGGUUACAACAGUUAACACAUGGUCCGGGUUUUUAGACAGUUGCAGUCAAUGGUCUUAUGCGGACUUUCAUGCUGUACAAUGCUGCAUGACUAUAUCCAAACUUUGCAAAGCUCACAGUUAACCACAAAGAGCUGUCACAGAAAUGCAUAUGUGGGACAUUUUAUCAAACAUCCAAAAAAAGAGAAAAGAUUAACUCCAUUUAACUGAACUUGGAUCACCAACAUCAGUUUCAUUAGCAAGCAGCAAACCACAAAACGUAAUAGUCGUCUCCUAGCAACAGCAGCUCUUGAAUGUCAGUCAACUAACGAUGAGACAGUGUGUCUUUGGAUAAGUCUAUAAACGGUACAACUCUCCUGAUAUUUACAGGUCUAUUAUUUAUUUGUUUUUCUUACAGUCAGGGGAAUCAAAAUUUCAGAUCUGCUUCAAACUUUAGGCUCUUUUCAAAUUGUCAGGCUUGUGCAAUGUUGUGCGGAAACAAGCGCACACAGACUUUGAAAGCAAACAGACAGGAUGUUUUUUACCUUACCUCCAGUUGGUGUCUAUUUGUGUGUGUCUCUGCUGCACUCUCUUUUCUUAUCAUAUGUGUGGUAAGACAGCUGACAAUACACUUUAGCAGCCAAUGCAUUGGGGGGUAGAGAGUUUAUCUGACAUUUCAGAUAAACACGGUAUCUUCUUUCUCUCAAAAGAAAACCAUUUGAUGACGAUUUAAAAUAUUAACUACUCCUCUGGUUUGUGGAUUUUGUCUCUAUCUAGCAGAGUCAAUAUGUAGCCUUAUGAAGAAUUCAUGCAAACAAAACAAAUUCCAUCACUAGAGUGGGUAUGAAACAGUCAGAGAGGCACAGAGAAAAAAGCACAACCACACUGUGUAAGAAUGGUUUGCAAACACUUAAUAGAUGAUAAAAAAAUGUUCAUUCCAAAUUCAUGCUAAUAUGGCACAGUGUCUGUUUAUUAUCUGUGUAUGCAGCCAGGCCACAUGGGAGGACAGCUAUUGAGUUAGAGGGCUUUUAAAUGAGGCAUUUAGGACGUGCCAUAAAGAAGCUAUUAACUGAUUUGUUCUCUAUAACACAGUUUUACACAGUCCACAGGAAAACUUACACACUGACAACUAGGAAGGUAAGACUUAAUGAAAGUCACAAAGGUUUGCUUCUCCUAGUCUGAAUGGAAUCUGCUUUGAUUGGGUAUUUUAUAAUAUUCCACUUUUCAUAACUCUUUCUAAAGGUCUUCUGCACUUCAUUUGUGCUUUGAAACCGCCUAAAGACCUUGGGCGGCACAGAGUAUCCAGAUUUUUAAAAGCCUACCUUUUUAGUAGUUUUUUUUUUUUGUUUUUUUAGAUUUUGGGGUUUUAUUAUUCUACUCAUCAUGUCAUUGUAUUUUUUUAUUCAUUCCUCUUUCUGAAUGUGCUAUUUUAAGUGUAAACAUUUUAAGCAUUGACCAAAGAUCGGUAUUUUCACGAUUUAUAAUCAGCAUCUGACGUUUUUUUUGCCACCAAUGCAAAUACAUUUAUUUUAAAACGUGCUUUGUUGGCUUCACACAGCCGCCUCUAUCUGCCUGAUGUCACCACUCUUGACUGUGUUGGCUACACAGACAGUCAAUCAACACUGAAGCUUUAAGGUGCCGCUUCACAGCAAGGGAAAGAGAAAGGAGAGUGCAUCUUAUUACACAACAGUUUAAGGUUUUUUUAUUACAAAUUUUCACAGCGUACACUACAUUUUUACUGCAAAUGAAUAUCAGCUCUAAAUAUCAGCUACCAGUUUCCUUGAUUAUGAAUAAUCGGUAUCUCUAUCAGCCAAAAAAAUAAUAAGUUAUCUGUCGAUCCUUAAAACAUUAGAAUUUUUUAUAUAUGAAUAAAGUGGAGAUAUGGUGGUACUUUAAUGCCACAUUUUGCAGCUCAAAGCAACUCAUGGUGCUGCUAUGUAAAAUGAGUCAGUGUUCAAAAUCGAAGACAUAUUGUAGAAAUUAAAAUAGACAGUAAAAGUACAUGCAAGAAACGAUUUCUGUAUCAUCUAGAAGAAUUUGAACUCUAUUUGGAUGUAAUGAGAUUGCCCUGCUAUAUCUCCAAUGUAAAGCAGUUUCUGUGUUUUGAAUAUACACUCAUGUAGUUUUGUAUCAUGUUGUAUUUCCCACUUUAAGAUGAAGCUUUUACCAUCACACAUUAGUGAAGAAUUUGAGGAGAAUCAUUUGAGACAAGCCAACUCAAGGUCACUUUCAUUCACCAAUCUGUUUGGUUCAGCCAUAACAGAUGAAUCAUGAAACUCAAUAUUACAAGAGAAGACCUUUUGACAUGCUUGAUAUUUGGCAGAAAAUGGUAUUAAAAUGCACAAGAGUUAUGGGUCCCAUACCGAGAACUUUUACAAGAAAUCGUCCUGGUUUUUGAUAGGCCAGUCCAGCAAUUAUGAAAUUAUGAGAGUUUUGAAUGGAGGAGGGGGAGGAAUGAGCUAACUCUUUGGCAGUGUUGGCCAUGAGAAAAGCCAGAUCAGCUGCUGUGUGUGUACUUGUGAUUAUUUUAAAAUCUAUCAGAUAAAGACAGCGUGAAAGGUUUAAGAUAUAGUUUUUGGAGCAGAGAGGUUCAGCUGUCUGCAUUGCUGUCUGACCACUGACACAGCUGCUCAAACUCUCACUGUAGACGUCCAUGCUGUGUGUAGACUGUGUGUUCGGGUGCAUGUGUGUGUCACAAGCUAAUGGCCGGUGUGUGUGCAUGUGAGAAGUCGUGAUAUUUCAUUUUGGGUGGUAGUGUUAGCAGCACUGGUGUUAGGGUUGACAAGGGUUAAACCUAGCUUGUUUGAAACAGGAUUAACCCCCCAAUUCUCAUGUGGACUCUCUGUGUGAGGGCGGCCAACAUUUUGCCUACCGUCACGUUCGCUUUAUGGAGCGGCUCUGGGCUGCUGGCGGACAGCUGAAACCUGAGAGGGUUCCUCAGCUCCUCCAAAUGUACUAGUAUAGGGGGGCUUUUAUUUGGUGAAACUUCCAUCCAGACAUGUGCUGCUUUGAGUUUCUAAUGUGUCAGGAUUUUCAGCUGCUUCUACAUCUGAGAAGUAUGAAUUUGAACAGAAGUAUGUAAAGGUUGGAGGAAUCGUGUUUGAGGCUACUUUACUCCCCUGCCAAAACUAAACCUUAGCUGAGGCUUAAGUCUGUCUGUGAAUGGCAUCAAGGUAAGGAAAAGCCUCAGCAGGUUUCCAGACUGCUCCAUGAGGAUGUUUGACUGCCAAGCAGGCUGAUGGACCAGGCCAGAGGCAGGUCUGCAAGGACUGUUAGGGCAACGUUAUGGCAUGCUUUGCCAAUUCUUUUGUGUCACAGCGUGCAUGUGGGAUAGUCCCACUCAUGGCUGCAGUGUGCGUCUAGUCUAGCAGGUGUCAUUUGAGACGGCCAGGGAGUAAUGCAAGGUAUGGCAGGCUCUGAAUUAUAGAAACUGGCAGCAGGCUAUGCUUAGAGAAAUGGGAUACAGUGCUUUUAAAUACACAGAUCGAGUGGCUGUCUUAAUCGCAGCAGAUUAGUACAUUAGUUUUUUAUUAGCUGCUUUGAGAUGAAAGUGAUGCGACACAUUAACAAAAGGGAAAAAGUCGGAGAAGCUGGUAAAAUAUUCAGAAAUUUGUCAAGAAAGCAAGAAUAUUCCGGCCUUAAAUUUAUUUAGAGUCAAACACACUCAGUCUGAUUGCAUUUCCAUGAAGAAAUGAUCAUAAAUGUUCUUGAGCUGCGUCCCGCUGCUGCAGUCAAUGAUGGACUGGUUAGAGGUCUCGCUACAAACAAGCAGCUGCUGGAAGAAAGUGGGUGAGUUGUGUUUAGUCUCUUUGCAAAAGAAAUCAGGCAAUGUUAAAAAGAUGUUUGGUGGCUAGUGCUAUGACUGGGACCCUGUUUAUACUGUUGAUGAAGUUAGGUGCUGUUCUGAGCAUUAUUUGUAACUGUAGAGUGGUGUUUUGGUUGAGGUUUAUGAGUGGCUCCUUAGACCACUGUGUAUUGCUAUUGUGCAGUUGUUACUAAAGUCGAUAUAACUAAGCAAGCGGUCGGCUACAUUCAUCUCGAGGGGGUGUAUAACUCGGUGUUACGGUGUCACUAAAUUAAUUUAACACCGGAAUAUCCCUUUAAACUGAUUCCACCAAACCAGGUAGAGAUUGGAGGACUUUAAUAUUCACGACUUAUCUAAACCAACAAAAACUCUUCUGUUUUCUUAUUUUUUUAUAUUGUAGUUGUAAAAUGCAAAAAAUCUCAGGGUCUAGUUUCGGUGUGAUUCAAUAGAUAGGAAUCUGCAGAAAGCCAAUGUGCAUCUGCAUUCCUGCAGGUUUCCAGAAAAGGACUCAUAACAGCCUGUAAAGAAUACUCUAAGCACAGUUUUUCCUCACAUGACAGAUAAACAUGCUAAUCUCUGUUUGUUCCCUUGUCUUUUCUCAUUUCCUCUUGGAUCGGUCUGAUACUAUAAUUUUCCAUGUGGUGUUGACACAGAGAAAUCCUUAUUUUCCCACAACCUAACAAUGGUAUAUUAUUUUCUAUAGAAGUCUGUUAACAACUCUUCAUGCUUUCGGCUGUUUUUGUUUAUGUCCCUGUUUCUCCUCCAUUUUGAUCAUAAUUGCCGUCCGCUUCCUUGGUUUUCCUCUCUCCCCCUUUCUCUGUAGCCCGCUCUAAUUUUGUUCCCUCCUUUCCUCUGCUUGAUGUGGUUGGAAAAAAAAGGGUUGCAGAGUAGAGGAAUCGGGGUUCGGAUGGAGUAAAAAACACAUAAAUAAGGGCAAAAAAGAAAAAGAGAGAAUAUAUGAGCAAUGUGACCCCAAAAGGAAAUUGUGUGAUUACUGACUCUGAGUUAUGCACUCCAGGCCAUCUGUUUAUAUGCCUACCUGCACAGUGUUUACCUGUCUGGAAUGAAAAAUUGGGAGAUAAAUCAAAUCAAAUUCCAACACAUUUGUCAGUGCUAAUGGGAAGAAGAUUUUAAAGUAAUGUUGACUUUGGAUUUCUGACCCCGCUCCAGUAAAUGCUCUCAUAGGAUGGCCCAUUUGGCAAUCAGGACCAUAUCUUUCACAAUUACUAGCAAUGCUUCGAUAAAACACACAUUUUCUUGAAAUACUUAUCAGACAUCAAACAUUUCCUCCACAGAAAUGCUGGGUUGUGACCCUGACCACGUAUUUAACCAAAGUCAGUCAGCAGCAGCAUUUCCUUCAUGGGCUGUAAAAUCACUCAGCGGCUGAAUCAUCUCUUCCAUGUUGCUCUAGCUGGACUUGUCAUCAUACUGUAGCAGCUCUGAUUGAUAUUCUCGUGGAAAAGCUGCCAGACAGCUCGGCUGCAUUCUACAGGAGCUUACUGGUAUAAUGUGCAUAAUUCACCGUGCUCAUUGUAAGCCAUCCGCUGCACUUCAGACUGAUUAGCCAUGAAAAUGUGGCAUACACAUUCUUCAGAGUUGGGCUCUCUGCACCACACAUAACAGUCGGUUUCUAUGAAUUUUCCAGGGCCUUUCCCAGGGCUUUAGUACAGUCAGGGGUCCUCCACCCAGGGGGGGAUGAAUGGACACAGCUGGAAUGUGAAAGAUGCUCGAUGUGGGGGAGAAAAAUGAGUCUGGAAACAUUAUUGACAUGUUCUUGGGACAACAUAAUGCUACGGUGCUGCAACACAGCUGAGACGAGUAAACAGCCCAGUCUCACUCCUAACUCAUCAAAAAUGUCAACUUGUUUACGUCUCAACUCUUAACAAUGUCCCCCAGCUUAUCGUUUUGAUGUGGUGUUGAAACCAGGUGCUAAGUAAAAUGUAGAGCAAAGACUACAAGGAUUCAGCGGGGACGGUGGUUAUGAGCAAUCACUGAGUCAGAGAAAAUAAGACCGUUUGCGAGAAGAAUUGGGUCAGAUUUAUAAGAAACGAAAAACAAGAGUGAACUUAUUUUAAGAAGUUCACUCCUUUAUAUUUAGCAGCAUAUGUGGUGUGCUGGUUAACUAGCAUGGUGUAUACAGCAUAUGCUCUCUGAGGUGAGUUAUUUUUUGUGCAAAAACACGACAGUAUGGGAUUUAGAGUGCAUUGGAAAAUUCAAAAUAAAGUAAACAGCCUCGCCUAAAGCAGUCACUUGAACAAAAUGUCUGUAAAAAAAGAGAGUAAUAAAGUGAUUCACUCCCUGCCUCAUUAACAACCACACAGAUAAUGCACAGGUAAAUCACAGCGCAGCACUGAUCUACAUUACAGUCAACUGCAAAAUAGACGGGAUUAAGUUUUUACAACCGUGCACCACAUGCUUGUUCUGAUUUUAAAAAUGGAAAUGAACGCCUGCAACACUUAAAUCCUUAGAUUUUCUCAAAAUUGACAGUGCGCCUAAUGUAUGAUUACUUAUUGUGCUUACUGACCGAUUUCACGUGGUACAAUGCACUCAAAAAUCUAUCGAAAUGUGAAAGUGUGACUUUGGUAAACUCAAUGGAUAUUCUGAGCAUACGGUACGCUGUGUUGCUACCUGAUAGGACCCCUGAGCAGUCUACAACACUGUCUGACUACAAUGUCUAAACUGGAAGUGCAUUUAUGUAAGGCAGCCCGGCCCGGAGUAUGCGCUAGCAACAAUAAACCAAUCAAUGCUUAAUGCGCCUUACAAUCCGGUGCGCAUUAUGUGUGAACAAAGACACGUUUAUUCACAGUGCGCCGUACAACCAGGUGCACCUUAUCGCCCGAAAAAUAUGGUAUUUACAAUAACAAUAGAUACACAUAAAGUGUAAUGACGAUCACUCUAGUGUCUGGAAACACUGGUAAAUAAUAAUAUUUCUCUCUUCUUCAGUAAGUGCUUGAUGAGGCUCUGUCACUCAACACACGAUUAAUUUAUUACAGUUCUUUUAAAAAAAAUGAAUAUUUGUGGGGUUUUUUAAAGAGAAGAUAUUUAAACAUCACCUUUUUAACUGAUUUUGGCAACCCUAUGAGGUACCAAAAUAUUUUCUUUAUUAUCUGUCACUCAUGCCGGACAGUUGGCAAAGUUACACAGCAGUCAUGCCAGCAUUAAGUUGUACUGCCCCCGUUAGCCUCCUCAAAUUGACUAAAAUCGAUAUUACCAAAAGGCCAAAAAAGGGCUGGUUCAAAAUUAAACAGACUAUAGACAGUUUCUCACUCCACAAAAAGCCAGCACUCACACUGUACAUCCCCUUCCUCAGGUAUGCUCUAUGUUUUAUUGAAGCCUGAGGGAGCUGCUUAGUGUGGUCAGUCACAGGUGCAGGGAAAUGGCAGCUCGGCGCUGGGCCCAUGACAACUGUCAAAAGGCGAAAUGAAGGCUCAGGCAGCAUGAGCCGUCAAGUCAGGCAGGAAAUGUACUGUUUUUUUCUUUUUUUUUGGUUUCCACAUGAAGGAUAGGAAGGAGGGUGGCACACAAGGGCAGCCCCUAGUCAACCCCACAUCUCCAGCCAGUCACACUUAUUGGACCGUGGCUUUCUCACCCAAUCCCUCAGAGCCCCAGAGGAGGAGGCUGACAGCUCCUCCAACAGGCCUUACUGCUUUGGAGUGUCAGCAACAGGUGCCAAAGACUUUCUCUGAGUGUGGUUGUUAUGCAUCACCUUAGAAACUUCAGUCUGUUGUGUUUUUUUUUAUCCUCUUAGAGAAAUAAGACUCCUCUGAAGGAGAUGAAGAGUGGAGAAACGGACUCCUUCACAAUGAGCUGUUUGGAUCAAUCAAGGACUCAUAUUUUUUACUACAAAUAGCUCUUUAAUAAAUAAACUGAGCCAAGCCUGGACUUAAAAACAACCUUUUUAACAAAUUAAUAAACACGCAGUAACAGCUGCAAUUCGAUGUUGGACUGGCUUCCGAUUGUUAGUCCUGCCUGACCUGAAUCAAUCUCAAACAUAUAAAGAUGAAGACAACACAGUUAUUUCCAAUCUGUGUCUUUACAACCUAACUCUUCUGUCUCAAAUAACCCCGAAAAUCUGUAAUAAAUCAAGAUUAAGUGGAAAGUCCUGUUUCCAGAGGUCUGACUUUGAGAUAAAGCUCUUUCAGCAACAUCUUGUGAUUUCAGCUUGCCUUAAUAUUUAUGACAAGUUAUCCCUUGUUAAAAGAAAGCCAUUCGAACCCUUUAGUGGCUCCCUUUCGAGUUAAAAGUUUAUCAUAAGGUAUUCAAUGUGCACCAAAACAGUUUCACAAAACUUCAAAUCCAAAACUCUGUUCAUGUUAGAACCUAUAUGCACCUACUAUUUCAGGAACAAUCAAGUUUGGAGAUGGAGACUUGAAUAAAAAUGUUGAAUUAGUCGAGGGAUUUACAAGUCUGCAUGUUCGAAAAGCUCAUGAAAAGCUCCUAUUAAUCAUUUUGAUGGUUUUACUGGAAUAAAACAUUGUAAGGGAUGAGGUAAUUGGGGAAAAGAGUUCACAGGAGAGAAGCUUACUCUCCUCAAUUGAAAGUCAAACGACGAAUACAGCAUAUUCAGCUCACACGCCGGUCACGCUCACUUAAAAACCCAACAUAGCUUUUAAAAACCCCAACAGCUCAUUGAUUGAGCUACCAGUCAUGAAGCUAACAACUCGAGCAGUGCAGUAACUGUGGGAAAGAGCCAUGGUGGCUGCAGACUAUGGCUAUUGUUGAUGUGUGUGUGUGUGUGUGUUCAUGUAAAGCAAAGCUGUGGCUGUGGCCCACACACGCUGCUGACUUUGUAAACGCCUGUGUCAGGAUCAAAAGCGGGGCUAUCUGCAGACACACUUGAUUAGUGAAAGGGCAGCUCACAAUAGCAGCUAUAAUGAAGACUGCUGGACUGCUUUUUCUCUCCUAAUGCUCUAAGUACUGUAAGAGCUCAGUCUGUUUUGAUUGGCAUUGCGUGAUCUUCAUGUAAAAAGAGGUAAAGAUCUGAUCAAUUUUUGAGUUUAUCUCUAGCAUUAGUAUUUAUAUAUUUGAUUUCAGAUUUAAUUUUCAGGACAAGGUUUUUUUUUUCUUCCUCCAACUGGAGAUUUAGCUUUAAUCUUGUCUUUUUUAAUCACUUUCCUCACCCCCUGCACUCGCGAUGACUGGACACACUUUCUUUUGUUAUCAAAAGUCCUUGGUUUUGUUUCUUAAUGCUCCAUUUGAAAACCAAUUAGCUUCUCUCUUGGAUUCAAUUACCAAAGUGAAAGGCUAGCGCUAUCUUGCCUCUGCAAUAAUAACACAAUAAUUGUAUUCACACGCAGCUCCUCCUCCAGCCCAGGCCUUUGGCGCACUGCUCUUUCAACCAGUGCCCGAGCCCCUCCUUUGGCCUUGGCUGCGUGCUUGUGAGUUGAUUCAAACGUGGAGUGAUUGUAUCACUUUCUGAUAAACAAAACUCGGCUGUUGGCCUGGCUCGUCUUUCAAAAUCAAUGAGGUCGGUAACAUUCAGAAUGGAUCUCUCCUUGAGGACACGGUAAGCGCCUUGAAAAUGAACUCCAUAUUUCCUCUGCUGUUGGCACAUAGGCGUCUGGGUGUGUGCCUGUGCUGGCUGGAGACUGUGUGUAAAAAUUAGUGUACAUGUGCGACAGCAGAAGGGUCCGAGUUUGCGGCUGGGUGAUUAUGUGUUAGUGCAGAGUGUGUGUCUGUGUGUGCGUGCAUGUGUGUGUCAGCAGUCAGUCAUAAUCUGGAAAGCUUCACCACUCACCAACAAUGUUGAUGAUGUGUGCGCACAACACAGGCAAAUGGCCUGAGACAGCAGUGAAUAUGCGUGUAAUGAGGUUGAAACUGAAGAAAGAUUGGGAGUUCAGACACAAGAGCUGUGUGAGUUGAUUUCUUCAUCCCUCUUUGUUAUUUUCAGAUUCAGCCAAAUGCCACAAUGUUCUUUUUUUUCCAUGACAGGCAAAUGUUGCUUUUGGAGUAUGCUUUAUAUAAGGCACUUUAACCUCAUCUUUUGAAAUAGUAAUUAAUGAAUACAUGUUAAAAGAUUUCAGUGCUUGCUUUACUCAGAAAACUGUAUUUUUGAUAGAUUGAUUAUAAACCAAAUUGCAAUCUAAAAAGAAUAUAUAUUCAAAAGGUUGGCCUCCUUGUUUGUGUCUUAAAGGGAAUGGUUUUCUUAAAUGAGAAAAGUAAGUAUAAUAAAAUGACACUCCGACCUCAGAGUGAGCAUUCUUCUAUUUAAAUAUAUUUAAGACCUAUUCACAAGAGACUGAAGAAGUUCAAAAUGUUUGCAAAGUGAAUUUUUUUUUUCUUUUUUUUUUUAAUUUGUAACUCUAUAGAUGGUAAGUAGGGGUGGGAGAAAAAAUCAAUUCACAUGGCGAUUUUUUUGUUUUAUAAUUUUUAAAUUGACUUUUAUGUUCAAUUUUUUUUUUUUUUUUUUUUUUUUUACAUUAAAGAAGAAAUCUUAAAAACUGCCUUACAUACACUCACCGGCCACUUUAUUAGGUACACCUGUCCAACUGCUCGUUAACACUUAAUUUCUAAUCAGCCAAUCACAUGGCGGCAACUUAGUGCAUUUAGGCAUGUAGACAUGGUCAAGACAAUCUCCUGCAGUUCAAACCGAGCAUCAGUAUGGGGAAGAAAGGUGAUUUGAGUGACUUUGAACGUGGCAUGGUUGUUGGUGCCAGAAGGGCUGGUCUGAGUAUUUCAGAAACUGCUGAUCUACUGGGAUUUUCACGCACAACCAUCUCUAGGGUUUACAGAGAAUGGUCCGAAAAAAGAAAAAAUAUCCAGUGAGCGGCAGUUCUGUGGGCGGAAAUGCCUUGUUGAUGCCAGAGGUCAGAGGAGAAUGGCCAGACUGGUUCGAGCUGAUAGAAAGGCAACAGUGACUCAAAUAACCACCCGUUACAACCAAGGUAGGCAGAAGAGCAUCUCUGAACGCACAGUACGUCAAACUUUGAGGCAGAUGGGCUACAGCAGCAGAAGACCACACCGGGUGCCACUCCUUUCAGCUAAGAACAGGAAACUGAGGCUACAAUUUGCACAAACUCAUCGAAAUUGGACAAUAGAAGAUUGGAAAAACGUUGCCUGGUCUGAUGAGUCUCGAUUUCUGCUGCGACAUUCGGAUGGUAGGGUCAGAAUUUGGUGUCAACAACAUGAAAGCAUGGAUCCAUCCUGCCUUGUAUCAACGGUUCAGGCUGGUGGUGGUGGUGUCAUGGUGUGGGGAAUAUUUUCUUGGCACUCUUUGGGCCCCUUGGUACCAAUUGAGCAUCGUUGCAACGCCACAGCCUACCUGAGUAUUGGUGCUGACCAUGUCCAUCCCUUUAUGACCACAAUGUACCCAACUUCUGAUGGCUACUUUCAGCAGGAUAAUGCGCCAUGUCAUAAAGAUGGAAUCAUCUCAGACUGGUUUCUUGAACAUGACAAUGAGUUCACUGUACUCAAAUGGCCUCCACAGUCACCAGAUCUCAAUCCAAUAGAGCAUCUUUGGGAUGUGGUGGAAUGGGAGAUUCGCAUCAUGGAUGUGCAGCCGACAAAUCUGCGGCAACUGUGUGAUGCCAUCAUGUCAAUAUGGACCAAGCUCUCUGAGGAAUGCUUCCAGCACCUUGUUGAAUCUAUGCCACGAAGAAUUGAGGCAGUUCUGAAGGCAAAAGGGGGUCCAACCCGUUACUAGCAUAGUGUACCUAAUAAAGUGGCCGGUGAGUGUAUGUUGAAGAAAUAUGGUUUCUGGAAAAGUCAGUAGACAAUCAUAAUCGUUCAACUGUUUCACUGGUGUUAAAAAUCGUAGAAUCGCAAUUUAAAUCAAAAUGGCAUCCAAAAAAAUCGUACAGGAAUCAAAUCGGGUGAAAAGCAUAUCAUCCCAGCCCUAAUGGUAAGUCAUCUUUGUCUUGACUACAUUUCACUAGCAUGUUUCAGUAUUCAUCACACAUUUACGCAGCGAUACAUGGAAAUUUUAAAACUUAGGUCAUAAAAAUAUUUGCACUAAGAAUUAUGAAGGUGAGCAAGGCAGCACAGUCGACACUGAAAGACUUGAAGGAUUGCGCAACCUGGAAUUGAAAUCACUACAUCUGAGUGUCAGCCCUGAACUUACACAUUUAGAUAUUUCACAAAAAAUUUAAAAAAAAAAUUAAGCCUGUAAUUAUAUAUAUAUAUUUUUUUUCUGUAUUUUGUAACAAAUGCAUAUACAGCAGAUUUAUCUCAGCAUAAAGAUAAUGUGUGUUUUGUUGAUGCUCAAACAUCUAAUGAGUAAAGAACUGGUAAAUUCAAAGUUUAAACUCUUCUGUUUAAGGAUUUCCUAAGUGGGGCACCACUGGCAGAGCUCGUGCCUCAUGUACAGAGGUUAUGCCUCACGCUGGAAGCCCAGGUUCGAUUUCAGCCUGAGGCCUCUUUCCCGUAUGUCACUGCCUUCUCUAUCCCCAUUUCCUGCUCUAUUCCUCGAGUCCUGUCCUCUCUAAAGAAAGGCAACGAGUCCUAAAAUAAAUCUUUGAAAAACAAAUAUUCAAAGUGAACUCCUUUAAUCAGGUGAUGAAAAGACCGUUUUAUUUUUGCACACUUUAAAUGUCCAAGACCACCAACUAUGCAGCUUAAAGUGUCUCAACACUCACCAUUGUUAGCCGCCACUUCUGUGGGUGCUGUGAUUACAUUUAAUUGGCCUGCCCUCAGAAACCUUUACGCUCACACACUUCACACCAGCACCUCUCGUGGCUUUCUCAAGGUAAGUCUAGAAGGUGCCUCGUAGCUCGCUGACCUCAAAACAGUUUUCACUUCCUGUACGGGUUGAAGUCGUCUUGACCGGAGUAAAUCAACCUCCCCCACGCUUCAAUUACACAUCCCGCUUCUGUUACCAGCUCCCCCCCCCACAACAAUUUUAAAGCUAAUUGCAGCCGACAUAAACAUGCAGUUAGCGUAUUGAUAUGUGGUUAAGGGAGUUAAAUUAUGCACUAGCAUCUCUUUAAGCUGCACUUGAACCUGAGAAGGGGAGGUGAAACAAGGAAGGGGGAAAUACCUUCAGUGCAUGCAAGAGCCAAGAACAUUAGCCCACAUCUGCUUCAGCGUGAUUAUUAUGUUAUCUGUGAUCCGUAAGAAUCAGGUCAACACUGCGGCUGAAAUAUAGCAGGACUUGUUCUAUGAAUAUGUAGAUUUGCAUGUGAUAUUUGCAUAGCUGAAUAGCAGAGAAGUUAAUGCAAACAACAUCUGCUCAGAGUCGUGCACGACGUACCUAGAGUUUUUUUUAUUAUUUGAAAUGUCCACUUUAACCUUUGGAAAUUGGUUGUAACGUUCAGUAUUUACAGAUACUGAUUACAUUUUGGAUCCAGAAUAAAUGAGAAUUGCAAGUGGAGUCCACGCUGAAUAAUGCAUUUAUUGUCCGGAGUCCGAUACCCAUUACUAUGACAAUGUUGACACAAAACACAGAAGCUACAUUGGUGGGAUUAUUAUACGCAAUGAAUGGAAACCUUUUCUAAUGUGCCCAGUUUUUAUUCCGGCCCUGAAAUAAUAGUCUAACUCAGCUCUGGCAACACAAACUUUACAUGCCCCAUCAGCCGCGGCGACGAUUAAGUUAUGAAAACAGUUUGGAGUGGGUCAGUGAUUCUGCCUUGCUCUGCGGCAAGUGUUCAUCUCAGAGAUGUGCUGAAAUGUACGCUGUAUGUAUUCUCAGGGGUACAAGGCCAAAUCAACAAGAAAAACCAUCAGCGUUGAGGGAUAUAAAAGCAAGCAUUUGUCUUUAUUAAAGUGCCCGGUUUACGUAAGAGGACCCCCAAGUCCUCCUUGGAUUAUAAAUGGGCUCUGAAAAUAAACAGGUGUUGAAGAAAGCGAAAGAGAAAAUCUGAAAUCAAUCACUAGAAAUUUUAUAUUUUUCUCUCUCAGAAAUGAAGUGAGCUAUAAAAUCAUCGCACACUAAAAUCCAUACUUGCACCAUUUACUCUUAUUUUUAUAUCAUAAGGGGUCUAUAUUUUUAAACUCUCAAAUAUUAACACCAGAUGAUUUACGAUAAAAAAAAAAAUACACUGUGAAGAUGUAAUACGCUUGAUUAUAAACAUAAAAACACGUCAGAGGUUUUCUUUAUGAUAAUGACAUAAUGGUGUGUCUGCCGUAUAAUGUGGGACCACAAUAAGGUUGCAAUUAAACACAAAUGAUGAUGAUGAUGAUGAUGCACGUACACGAACAACUUUGCAUGUGCACACUUUCUCUGAAUGUUUGAUGCUUUGAUAAAGAGAGGGGAAAAAUAUCCUGAAGUCCGCUGUCAUUAAAUCGGUGUCAGUUUAUUUGUGUAAGACACUGGAGCUCAGGAGGAGAGCUGGAGAGUAAGGGUGGUCCGCAGUCCAUUUAUUCACGGCUCGCUGGCAGCUGAUCAGUGGAAUUUAGUUUUUUGCUGAAAUUUGGAAAAGGGGAGGGUGAAUUUUUUAAAGAAUAUGAGCUCUGAACUUUUAUUCUUUAAGGAAAAGAUUAAGUUUCAGGGUUUUUGUGUGCCAAGAGUCAAUUGAUGACCGGGAGAAAACGGCAGAAUUUAAGUAUAAGAACUGGAGAAGAAACUAAUAACCAUGAAACUAGUUUCUGCAUGUGUAGACAGGCAGGGAGACGUAUUAAUGGAGCAGUAAUGUGGAGGGUACAUUGGCCCGAGCCUCCAGGGCUUACCACGGGGGGGACUUUGGAGCAGCUGUUUUUUAGCUGCUCUAAAUGGAGACGUUGUCCUGUGUGGUGCUCCAUUUUGGAUUCUCAGCCCCCACCCUUCACCGAUACUUCCCCAAACCAGCUUCACUUUCCCUCCCCAUGCGCAGCACAGAGAAGGGGGUCAGGGGUAGCGGCGAAGGUGGGGCAGCCAUCUAAACUGAAGCCAUCAUCAGCCACUCUCCCUCACCCCCACAUACCGACCCCCUACUCCCUUUUCCUGCCUGAUGUGGCCCUUGACAGGAUCUCAUCUCACACGACCAGCCUGGGCUCCCUCCAGAGUGUCAAAGCAGGUCUUAAUUUUAAAAGCCCCUGGGUUCAAUGCAAACUAUUCAGCUAUGCUUACCACUCAAUUAUCUUCCUGUCCCUUUUUUUUUCCACCGCCAAAGCCCCCUCUGAAAGAACCGCGGAGCACUCUGUGGUGGGUCUGACUCGGUAUCAGUUCCCUGGUGCCCCUGUCCUUUAAGACUACAUCCAAACACACGGUGACAAAAGCAAGGAUUUAAGGUCAUUUCAUACGCACAAGAGUGUAUGUGGCGCUCCAGAAAUGGCCCUGCUUCCUUGGAUGCUGGAGUGAUGUCAGCCCCCUUUGAUUCUCUGUUUCUCACAGUAUUUGACAGCCCCUCUGGUAGCCAUUAGUUUGGUUAAGGAUUGCCCCCUUUUCUCCUCCAGUGGUCAGUCAGAAACAAAUAAUGUGCUCUGCCCUCCAGUGUUUGCCGAAAAAGCCCUGCGAGACCUUGCGGCUUGGAAACGUUUACGAAACACUCAGAACCACAGGAAACAUCCAGAGGAAAACGUUCCCUCUCUCCCUUAACCCUCCCUCCCCCCUUCCCCCGCCGCAGCUCCUCACCGGCAAUGGAUUUGGGACCAGAGAGCUUGAGAAAGGUCAAAGGUGGGUAAGAGAAAAGCACAGAUGACUCUCAGAUGGAUUAGCACUAAGUGAUUCAGACUCUCCCACACAAUCACAACACCUAAGAGGUCAUUUUCACGAGGCAUCCGAGAUCAGUCUGUUUUGGUGAUUUCAACCACCAGCUGGGCAGAUGGUACACAGAAUUGUAAAUUUAUCUUGUUCUUUACCAACGAACUGUGAAGGGAGAGAAAACUUCUGCAAGCAAUUUCCCUCUGACAGCUCAGAGGAAUGUUUUGCAUUGCUUGUUUGGCUGAAUCUGUUUUUUUUUCUUCUUGUUUUAUUUAGGAAAGCACUCUAUAAAUAAAGUUUGCAUUAUUACUACAGGAAGGAGCAGAAUUAAUGUCAGGCGGCUGAUUGUUCAAAACCGCCCCAGAAAACAUCCUCAUCAGUAAGUAAGUGGAGCGUAACUCUUUGACAAAUUAUGAGUCCUCGAGCAGAGGUGGGCGAGCCGUCAUCAGUCUUGAGAACAUGUGAAAACAGAGUCAGGUGGGUUAACAUACUUAAACUUAAAUUAACUGUGAUCCAUCAUCGAGAGAAUAUCUCACCCGUCCAGGAAAACAGGCGCGAUAAGAGAGAGGCUGCUUAUCAAAAACCAAACACUGUACUCGUUGGUGUCUAACAAAAACGUCCAAGCAAAGGCUAAAAGUCCAGAUGAGGAGUUGGAUUUCUUUCAGGGUUGGAGAAAACUCCCUCACAGUGGCCUGCUGUAAUGGAUGACUUCACUUCCACUAUCUGUUAGCCAGAGAAAUUAUUACCACGGAUACUUGGUGGUGUAAGGAGAUUGGAUGGGUGAGCCUUAAUAAACUUUUUCAAGCAGGAGCAGAGCCUUGUGAAAAUGACUUUUUUUUUUUGUUCUUAUCUUCAUUUAAGUACAUCAUUUUCUGCUGUGACACACACUGUGUUCACACCACUGAGGUCUAUAUCAUCUCAGAACUGUAAGAUGAUGCCUGACUUUCUCUGCCUGAGUGUAUAGCUAUAAGACAGACCUAUAUUAGGGUGCAUUCACACCAUAGACUGUAUAUACUAUGGACAACUUGGUUCCGCCCUCUGCCGGUAUAUGGAAUUGAAGCCAAAAAGCUCUCGGUAAUUUCGCAUUUUCUCUCCAUUUCCUGAAACCAACAUUGCGCAGUAGUAUUGUGUGCAUUCGGUGGGAGAGAGUCACUGUGAAGACAUUGAUAAAUACUUCAAGGUCAUAAACACAAUCGCCAACGCAGCAAACACUUCAUAUUCAAUCGUCACAACUGAAGCAUUUUUGGGCCUGUAGGGGGCGCUUACUUAAAUUAGACACACACCAGUUUGAGGCAUUAAAAAUUGCAGGAUACAAAUCAUCAAUCUUGACAGAAACGGUCUUAUUUACUUUUAUAUAUCAUAAAAAGGCAUUAAUAUGAAUUGUAGUAUGUUGCAGGAGUGUCAAAAACUCCUCACAGGAAUUUUAAGAAGUACUUGAUAUAGUUGAGUGUCCUCAUUCAGAAAAAUAAAAGGUAUUUGUGGCAUGCCUAAUUUUUUUUAUUUUAGAGAAAUUAAUAGUGUUUUUCCAGAGAUAAUUACAAAUAGAAACUACCAUCCAUUAUCCUGAUAGGAUGUGUUGCAAAAAUAUUUAAUUUUCUCAUGUCAUUAAUGUAUAUCUAAAUUUGUUUCCUGGACUGGUUUAUUGUUCUUUUUUUUUUUUAAAGUAAGAACUUUUUCUGACCAGAAACCAGCAGCUCCAAAGAUUAAAAACAUACCAGUGAAGAGCAGCAGAUUUACACGUCAAAGAGUCUUGUUCUAGAAGCUGUUUUUUUUUUUGUUUUUGUUUUUUUGUAUGUUGCCAAUAUUUUAAAAAGAAUAUUUUAUCAUACAAAAUCGUUGUUAUUAAUUUUCUGUGGACUGGAUUACUAAUGAAUGAACCCUUUGCUAACUCCUUGGCAUUGAAUGUUAACAUUUAGUGCAUUGUUUAUGAAUUGUUUAGCCUAGAAGUAGAACAUCCUUUGAGCUGUGUGUGUAUCACGUACUGUUUUUCAUUUAGUAUUCACUUUGUUUUGCCAGGCUCUCCCUUGGCUUUAAAGUUGCCUGCAUGUGUCUCAUUCCUCCUCGCUGCCUGAGGAAGAGUACCGACUAGAGACACAUUGCAGCGUGUGCAUUAAGACUGAGGAGCUGCACAUCUUUCUAAUGUUAUUUUUGCAUUGUUAAGCAUGAAAUAAUGUCUUUGUGCAUUAGGGCUCUCGUUCUCUCUCUCUCGUUCAAACAUCUUAAAAAAAAACAUCAGAUGUGUCUCGGAUGAGAAGUUUGAUCAGAACUAGGACACUUUAAGCUGAAGUGUGAAUUUUGCUUCAGCCACAGUCCUCCAGCUCCCCCUCUCUCCUGUCAGGCACUUCUCUCUCUCUCUCUCUUUCUCUGUUUUUGACUCCCAGACCGCCCUCUUACAUUCCCUCUUCUCUUUCUCGCCCCCCAUACUUUUCUCCCUCUUCUCCCAAAUCGACCCCCUCCUUUUCGCACUCUGCCCGCUCCUCAAAUGAGACACACUCAUACAUCACUAUCUCUCUAAAACCAAUCUCCCACUAUCUCUUUAUCAGACCCUCUUUCCCUUCCCUCAUUGUCCUCCAUCCUGUGUUUUUCUCCCAGUCUAUCCUCUCUUUACCUCUUUCGGAGCUCUCACAUGUGGACUUGAUCAGUGAGGCUAACGCAGCACAUACAGCUAAAGGCUUGAGGCUGGGGUGUGGUGUGGGGGCAUGUUUGAUAUAAAUCCCC